rnacentral:rRNA from 1 species
UACGGAGGGUGCAAGCGUUGUUCGGAAUCAUUGGGCGUAAAGCGCGUGUAGGCGGCUUGGCAAGUCAGUUGUGAAAGCCCGGGGCCCAACCCCGGAAUUGCAUCUGAAACUGCCUGGCUGGAGUCCCGGAGAGGAAGGCAGAAUUCCCGGUGUAGGGGUGAAAUCCGUAGAUAUCGGGAGGAACACCGGUGGCGAAGGCGGGUCUCUGGGCCGUAACUGACGCUGAGGAGCGAAAGCGUGGGGAGCAAACAGG